GAUGAACGCUGGCGGCGUGCCUAAUACAUGCAAGUCGAGCGAACAGACGAGGAGCUUGCUCCUCUGACGUUAGCGGCGGACGGGUGAGUAACACGUGGAUAACCUACCUAUAAGACUGGGAUAACUUCGGGAAACCGGAGCUAAUACCGGAUAAUAUAUUGAACCGCAUGGUUCAAUAGUGAAAGACGGUUUUGCUGUCACUUAUAGAUGGAUCCGCGCCGCAUUAGCUAGUUGGUAAGGUAACGGCUUACCAAGGCAACGAUGCGUAGCCGACCUGAGAGGGUGAUCGGCCACACUGGAACUGAGACACGGUCCAGACUCCUACGGGAGGCAGCAGUAGGGAAUCUUCCGCACUGGGCGAAAGCCUGACGGAGCAACGCCGCGUGAGUGAUGAGGGUCUUCGGAUCGUAAAACUCUGUUAUUAGGGAAGAACAAAUGUGUAAGUAACUAUGCACGUCUUGACGGUACCUAAUCAGAAAGCCACGGCUAACUACGUG
rnacentral:rRNA from 1 species